rnacentral:tRNA from 7 species
GCCGGGGUGGCGGAACUGGUAGACGCACAGGACUUAAAAUCCUGUGGGAAUUACAUUCCCGUGCCGGUUCGAGUCCGGCCCUCGGUACUA